rnacentral:lncRNA from 1 species
UGUAAAUUCUUUAUACUUAAUUAGUGAAGUAAAACCCAAUUAUUGUUCUUACCGACAAAGUACGUGUUUAAUAUUUUAAACUGUUAUGGAAGAAGCACCUAAAGAAGUACUAACAGGUUGUGGCAGAAAGAAGGUUUCUAAUCCAAAACUGUGGGAAAAAAUGCUUAAAAAAAUAACAGAUAUGCGGCAAAGAGAGAUUACUGCGAAAGUUAUUUUCCAGAACCUGCUGAAUUAAGAGUUUAAUAACUAAAAAAUGUGUUUAGUGUUUUUGUUUUUUAGCCUAUGUGACCAUAACAUUAUUGUUAUUUUAGCCAAAAUCUGUUUUAGGUAUAAAAUUAUUGUUUCGAAUAAAAAUAUUCGUUCACACUACUUCCUUUGUCUACAUUAUUGUUAUUCCAAAAAGCGUCUUAUCCACUGCGUUGUUCCAAAGUGGGUCUUAUCCAAAUUAUAUUUAGUUUUUUUGAGCUAAUGACGCAAAAACGAUUUGAAAAACCUUAACGUAUACUAAUGUUAUGAAUUAUUAAUGAACACUAAAAAGCUUCAUACAAAAAGAACCAUCUGAUAAUAAAAAAAUGGUUUUUUUCUAAUUUUUCAACAUUUUUCUCGAAGGGAUAAGAUUCAUUUUGGAAUGACCUUACUCAUAUAUUGGCUCUUAAUGCAGGGGAGUUCGUUAAGGGGGGGAGGCAAAAAAAUAUAUCCUUAGAAAAACUCGAAAUCGUCAAAUUAAGGUAAGGUAAGUUAAGUUCUUAUAAAACCAAAGACAAAAAGAUGUAUAAUAUUAUACACACAGAAAUAAGGAGAAAGAUCAGAGAGGCAAAGGAAAGAUGGUAUAGUGAAGUGAAAACUCGUCGUUUAUACCCCGUUUAGGCUUAAGCCUCUUCAGGGUGAAGGAUCCUCAUUUUCAGGAGUGUGGGAGAUUGCGUCGAAAGUGUGUGGAGAAGCAGAAUUGCUAGUGGAUUGGGUUAAGAAGGUGGUUUUAGCGCAGAAGCUUUAGGAGCGAAAGAUAGAAAUUGCCAUGCUCAGCAAGCGACCAGUCAGUGAGGGGGUUCCAAAUCUGUCACCUUAGAGGAACGGCUCUUAGA